GCGGGCGUGGCGAAACUGGUAGACGCAAGGGACUUAAAAUCCCUUAGAAACUCAACAAUUACAGUACAUUUACUCGCA
rnacentral:tRNA from 1 species